rnacentral:rRNA from 1 species
GAUGAACGCUGGCGGCGUGCCUAACACAUGCAAGUCGAGCGGAGAAUUGUUGCUUGCAACAAUUCUUAGCGGCGGACGGGUGAGUAACACGUGGGUAACCUGCCCUAAACAAAGGGAUAACAAUGAAAAAUCAUUGCUAAUACCGUAUAAGCUUACACUAUCGCAUGAUAGAGUAAGAAAAGAUUUAUCGGUUUAGGAGGGGCCCGCGUCUGAUUAGCUAGUUGGAGAGGUAACGGCUCACCAAGGCGACGAUCAGUAGCCGACCUGAGAGGGUGAUCGGCCACAUUGGGACUGAGACACGGCCCAAACUCCUACGGGAGGCAGCAGUGGGGAAUAUUGCACAAUGGAGGAAACUCUGAUGCAGCAACGCCGCGUGAAGGGAGAAGGUUUUCGGAUCGUAAACUUCUAUCUACAGGGAAGAAAAAAAUGACGGUACCUGAGUAAGAAGCCCCGGCUAACUACGUG